AAUAAGAGAAUGACAAAUCAAAUUUUUCCUCUUUAUUUUCAGUUUUUUUCUCCUUAAAACAUUUAAAUCCAACUAAAAAUGCUAAAAAUUAAAAGGAAAAACCUGAUUUGUCAUUCUCCUAUU
rfam:Gossypium arboreum cultivar AKA8401 contig_26148_3, whole genome shotgun sequence.